GUUCUCUCCUUUUUUUUUUUGGCAGCGCUGGAGAAGCAGGAGGGUUUCUUUGUGAUCUAUACACGCUGCCAGUGCCGAUUUGUUGGAUGGAAUUCAGGGAAGAUUCAACUAGACUGGACAUGCUACUCAGUAGGCAUUGGUUGAAAUACACUUGGUGCAUUGUUUUAGGGUUGGAGACGUUACGAUUUAUUUCUACAACUGUUGACAGUAGUCAUAUACAUUAUCAACAAAAAAUCCAACUUACCAAUUGAGAAUGGCCAUUCAGUAUUAUUUCUAUUGUAGAUUGUGAGCAACGAAUAUGGUCUGGCAGCAACAAAAAAAUCUUGAUAUUAGAAAUUCAUUGCUCACAGCUUAUGCCAACAGUUUUUUUUUUUGUACGACUAGCUGCUUUGAGUGACAACAAGUGUAGUGCCUUAUUCAGAUUUUUAGUAUGCUCCUUGAAUCAUAUUGUUCUAACUUCAAUUGACUUCUACUGAAUCCUUUUUACACAGGCAAGAGUAGUACAAGACGUAAGAACCACUUCAGGGCUUCCGGCACUAUCAUGGUCCCGAGAACCUGGACAAAUAUUUGCCAUGAAAUUAAAGAGAGCUGCGUGUGCUUAUUUAAAGUGGUUACCCGGAAAUACAUGUUAAUCCUGCAAGCUGCAAUUUCUAUUUGAUUACACAAAGAUAGGCAAAAAAAAAAAGGACGAGGAACUGCAUACAAUGGAAAUGGAACCUAAAGCAAGGCUACAUAGAAUGCUUACUACAAAGGUAGGGUGUCUGCUCAAUGCUCAUGGUGUUCACCAUCCUUUUCAGCUUCAUGGUGCUCAAUGCUUACUGAAAACUGGUGCUUGAUGCCUGAUCUAAUUUUUUUAUCAACUGGGUAUUGAUGUCUGCAGAUGUGACACCUACUGAUAUCUAUAAACAUUGAUAAGGACUUUGAGUUUUUGGAUACAGCUGCGUGCAAUUUUCAUUAUUUGUUACAUUCAGUGCAUUGUAAGGGAAAUUAUUAACUUUACAUUGUAAGCCUUCCCAGCACUUCAGAGCAGGCGGCAAGUCGAUGCACCGGGCGGAGCGGCGGGCGGGUGGCUCGCGCGAGGCGGCACGCUAGCGGAGUGGGUGUCGGCGGGCUGUGCUGUAGGUUAAUCUUACGAUUCUAUGGAAUCCCAGUUUGUACUAGCAAAGAUUUUAAUGAGGUAUCCCUACAAGUUCACCUAUCAGUUACAUUCAUGAACUGAAAAUUAGUAAUGUACUAAUGUGCAAUGAUUUAUCCUUCCCCCGUUACCAUAUGUAUCAUUGGUAAUUUGCUUUCCUGUUAUGUUUUUUUUUUGUUUGUAUACACAAGGAUUUAAUUCGACAUGUAUGCACACAUCAUGACAUCAAAACAGAGUUGACAGCCAAAAAUGUGUUCCUUUGUUCCAUUUCCUGAUCUGAACUUCAUACAUUGUGCACUGUUCAGAAGUUAAUUAAUUGUUUUAGAUAUUUACAAGGUAUCAUUCUACUGUGGCCAUCCUUUCAUCAUGCAUUCAAUCAAAUUGACAAAAAAAUGCGUUUGCAAAGUGCUAGGUGUUUGUUGCUUGGAACACAGGAUGUUUCACAUCUUCUGUCCAGUCAAAUGCAUUUCGGAACUAUUUCAGAGCUUCCUGUGUCAAGUGAUCUAUGGAUAGGAUAUACAAGCUACCUGGAUAAGAACUUGAAGGUGCCUUCUGUACUUAGUAGUGUUUAUUACAGAACCACAAGAAACUGCACAUGGGUUGGUGAGCUAUGGGUCCCUUAUUCGCUAUCUUUGGAGCGAAUUCAUUCUUCUGAAGAAUAGGUACGCCAUGUAAGCUCCUUAGUUCUCUCUGCUGACACGUAGCUGGAGAUUGUGCAUAUUAGAUUCUUAGAUCUUAUAUGUGUGUGAAAUAGAUGACACAUUUAGUUCUGCCACCAUUGUUGAAAAGGUAAACUGAUUAUAGUUCUGUAUAGUUUUUUUAGGUAGCUGUAGAUGUUUACUGCUUUUAUAUAAUGGUAGCCCCGUUAUAAAGUUGCCAGAUAUCAUAUUGCAUUGAUAUAAUGAAACAAUUCUCUUAUCAUAAGAUUACCUAAUAUCUGCUAAAUGUCCUGAAACAUCCUGGCAGUCAUCCAGCAGAGUACAUUGUGACAGAAUUGAAUGCCAAAUGUUUUCACUGCAGUUUUUCCCUAUUUUCCUAUCUAUUUUGGUGUUUUUGGAAGUCUGUUAUUCAGCUUCACCUAUUUCUUUUAUGUUUAUUGCGAGCUAAUGAUAUAUUUGUGCCUGUACAUUUCAGUUGUUUGAACGGGCAGUGCAGUGCUCUUUUCCAACCAUGUAAGAGGUGACAUAAUUCAACUCUAUGUGCAUUAAUGAUAGGCAUGCUAAUUGAAUUGUGCACAUUGGAGUGUGCUUUGGCUGCUUAGGAAUGUCACAAGUUAACAAAAAAAAAGUGUAUAAAAAAAGUGAGUGUUCCUCCCCCCUCCACUUCAUGUACCAAAUUCUAAACCUGAUCUGGUAGUGCUCACUGUGCUUUACAGGUAUGCUUUAAAAAUCCGCUUUUUAGUUCCUACAUUAAAUAUGAAACGCGAAACAAAAAACUGAUCUUUGUGGGGACCCAUGCUGCUACUGCUGAUUCAUGUUUUCUAGGAUUAUGUUCAGAAAGUUUCUUUUUGCAUAGCCACUACCUUUUGUUCAGAACUUGAAACAUAUUUGACACUACAUGCUUGCAAGAGUGCUAGAUUUAGACACAGGCAUACACAGAAAUACUGAUGCUCAGAAAGUUAAUUUCGCAUAGCCAGUAGCUUAUGUUCGGAACUUGAAACACAUUUGAGACUACAUGCUUGCAAGGGUGCUAGAUUUACAUGCUUGCAAGGGUGCUUGAUUGACACAGCCAUAUAUAGAAAUGCUGAUUUUGUUAGCGCCUUAAAGUGCACCACAUAAUAACCAUAUUAGUUCAGAGGCAGUAUUUAUUUCCAUUUGCAUCAAUUCAAAAUAAUAUUGCUUCUUCCAACGCCUUAUUUUUAGUUGAGCCCUGCUACUUCCGAUAUUAAUUCACUGCAACUCUCUAUUCCCAAAAGUACCUACAAUACUCUCUGCUAUUCAAUAGACAUGACUGCUGUGAUGAUAGGAUAUCCUUCCUGAUUGCUAUAACAAAAACAACUUGCUACAGGACAGAACAACGUCCACAGCCUCCUACCAUCAGUUAAAUCGUCAACUUCUUAAACAUCCUGAACUCAGGAAAUUUAUACAUUUUCCACAUGAAAAACAGUUGUUUUGAAUACUCCCUUACAAUUCUGUGUUUUGCUAACUUCCUUGACAACCCAACUUCAGGAACACCUCCGGCAUGAGGCUUUGCGCCCGUCAAAUGAAUGCAGUCUCCAGCACCUGAAGAACAUCCAAUGCGGCUAGCUAAUCCCUUAAUUUUCGUUGUUCUCUUAGUAUUGUAAAAUAUGUGAUGGACAAAACUACUCUGGAAGGAUUCUGUACUUCAUGCAUUGUAAAAUAUGUAAUGGAUAAAACUACUCUAGAAGGAUUCUGUACUUCAUGCUUAAUUUCUUAUGUGCUAUUCUCUUUGGAUUCUCUUUGCACAUAGCAUGUUGUCUGCCAUCGUUACCUGCUCCAUCUGUUAACCACGCUUCUAAUAACCAGGUUGAUGCCUAGAUUGUUCCACAAAGUGAUGGCCGUUUUCUAGGUCCGUUAAUCCCAUCCAGCUUCUUCCAAAUUUCAUAUUCCUCAGAUUAUAUUGUUUGCAUUCUACUGAAACUAGGACCACAUCCAAAAAUACAACUGUUGCAUGCCUGGCUCAACAAGACCACAAAACAUUAAGUUGACAAUAAUUCCGUUUCUUUUGAGAGCUAGCUGUACUAUAAUGGGAUAGCUAUUUAUUUAGGAUUGAAAUAACCUCAUAGUCUGCCAAGAAUUGCUCAGAUAAUGUGGUAGAUUAGUUUUCUUAUCUUUAUAGGUGGCUAAUUCAUAAGCCUAACUAGCAAUCUUUGGCGUUGGCUGUCUCUUAUUAGCUACUGUAAGUCUGGUUAGCUCCUCUCCCCGUUUACUUAUACUGACUAAAAAUUCAUGUACCCAGACACAUUUGGAUGGCCAAGUUCAGUUGCUUUCCGCAACAGUAAUAAUAUGAAUUAAGCUCA